rnacentral:tRNA from 1 species
GUCUUCUUCGUCUAGUGGUUAGGACAUCGCUCUUUCAAGGCGGAAACAGGAGUUCAAUUCUCCUAGGGGACG